GGUUUGGCUGAAUUGUGGCGUGUGGGGCGCCCAUCAUGGGCUCCCGUGGGAUGCUGGGCUGGGUUCAGAUCCCUGAAUGGGCACAUUACUCGAGUGACCUUGGGCCAAGUGAGGUAGAUGAGGGAUGACUCCUCAGAUGACUUCAGCUGUAGAACCCUCCAGGAGGGUGACCCCUUCUCAGCGGGACGACCUCCCACCAGGGGUCGCUCCCUCUCUGGGAUGAGAGCCCCACAAGCCAAGCCUCCGCCGAGCCUGGGACUUAUCUUCCCUUCCCUGAGCUCUUGGGGGCAGCACUUAUGGCACCAGGUGAGUAGGGAAUACCUGAGCCAGGUGCCAGGCAGAGACACCGGGGCGGUGCUUGCUCUCCCUCUGCCCCAGGGAAGGAAGGGAUGGAGGGACUCUCCAGGAGGCUGAUGCUCAGGUGCCACCCCCAGGGUGUCCCUGGGCACCCGAGCUGCCCAGUCUGUGCCCUGCUGGCAAAGUCCUCAGGAGCUCUGGGCACUGCCCGGUGUUCACUUUUCAGGUCUUCACACAUCAUGUGCUCCGCAGUGGACCCGAGGCCAUGGUGGGGACCAUGGCUCGUGUUGUUCCUCUGCCAGCCACUGGGUGGCACUACCAGCCUACCGGGCUCUAUGUACUGGUCCCUGUCCGGUCAGCCUUGGAGAGUGACCCUCCCGUUGUCUGUCUCUGAACAGAGAGAAUGGGCUGCUGGAGAAUCAAGUGCUUGGACCAGGAAGACCGAUCUUCAGAUCCCAGCUCUUACCCUUCCUUGUGUGCCCGAGGCUGGCCACGUCCCUCAUCAACCCUCAGUUCCGGGGCUUCUCUCAGCCUCCCCACGGUGUAAAGCGCAGUUUCCAUGGCAGUUAAUGCUCUCUCAUCAGUUACCAAGCCUGCCAACUUUACCUUCCCAUUAUCGCGUCCAUCACCGAUACCAACUGGGAUAGAAAGGGAUCCCUGAGGGCCGGAUCUACGCAGGAAACUGCAAAUUAACAUUAUCCAGGCUGUAUUUUUCUCUAUUUUGUUAAACAUCUCCCGAUCACAUUUUAAUCUGGCGAGUAGUUUUGUGGGCUGUGAUUUGAUGCCUCUGUACUUUGUAAUGUGUGGACCCUAUCAUGGCUCCACUGAUUCCUUCAGCCAGAUUUUUUCAUCUCCACUCCCUCUUCCCUCUAAUAACUUACUUCACCGCUUCCCGAUUAUUCUUAGAUCUCUUAGUCACAUCAUUCCUAUUCUAAAGCUUUUAAUGAUUUCUUGUUGCAGAGCACAGGAAAGCCCACCAUUUUGCCAAUCAAUCAAGCGGCAAACAUUUGCUAAGCACCCGUUAUUUAAAAAUUCAGUCUAGGAUUUAAUCUUAAAUUACUUCUCUCUUUAUUCUUUGCCUCAGUAAAACUGGAUUAUUCAUGGUGAAUACUGAUAUUGCCCACUUCUGCUCCUACUGUUUCUGUGCCCAGAAUACCUUCCUUUAACUCUCCUAUCUAUUAAAAAAAAUUGACACAUU